rnacentral:rRNA from 1 species
GAUGAACGCUGGCGGCGUGCCUAAUACAUGCAAGUCGAGCGAACAGACGAGGAUCUUGCUCCUCUGACGUUAGCGGCGGACGUGUGAGUAACACGUGUAUAACCUACCUAUAAGACUGGUAUAACUUCGGGACACCGGAGCUAAUACCGUAUAAUAUAUUGAACCGCAUUGUUCAAUAGUGAAAGACGGUUUUGCUGUCACUUAUAGCUGCAUCUCGGCCGCAUUAGAUAGUUGUUAAGUUAACGGCUUACCAAGGCAACGAUGCGUAGCCGACCUGCGAGGGUGGUAGGCGACCAUAGAAGUGAGACACGGUCCAGACUCCUACGGUACGCCGCAGUAGGCAACGGUACGCAAUAGGCGAAAGCAUGACGGAACAACGGGACGUGAGUGAUGACAGUGUUGGGAUCGUAAAACUCUGUUAUUAGGGAAAAACCACUGUGUCAGUAACUAAGGACGUCUUGACGGUAAUUAAUCAGAAAGCAACGGCUAACUACGUG